UACGUAGGGUGCAAGCGUUAAUCGGAAUUACUGGGCGUAAAGCGUGCGCAGGCGGUUUUGUAAGUCUGUCGUGAAAUCCCCGGGCUCAACCUGGGAAUGGCGAUGGAGACUGCAAGGCUGGAAUCUGGCAGAGGGGGGUAGAAUUCCACGUGUAGCAGUGAAAUGCGUAGAGAUGUGGAGGAACACCGAUGGCGAAGGCAGCCCCCUGGGCUAAGAUUGACGCUCAUGCACGAAAGCGUGGGGAGCAAACAGG
rnacentral:rRNA from 1 species